rnacentral:rRNA from 1 species
UAGCUUGCUAGAAUGCUGAUUAGUGGCGCACGGGUGAGUAACGCAUAGGUCAUGUGCCUCUUAGUUUGGGAUAGCCAUUGGAAACGAUGAUUAAUACCAGAUACUCCCUACGGGGGAAAGAUUUAUCGCUAAGAGAUCAGCCUAUGUCCUAUCAGCUUGUUGGUAAGGUAAUGGCUUACCAAGGCUAUGACGGGUAUCCGGCCUGAGAGGGUGAACGGACACACUGGAACUGAGACACGGUCCAGACUCCUACGGGAGGCAGCAGUAGGGAAUAUUGCUCAAUGGGGGAAACCCUGAAGCAGCAACGCCGCGUGGAGGAUGAAGGUUUUAGGAUUGUAAACUCCUUUUGUUAGAGAAGAUAAUGACGGUAUCUCACGAAUAAGCACA